rnacentral:tRNA from 1 species
GCAUUGGUGGCCCAGUGGUAGAAUUCUCACCUUUCAUGUGAGAUAACCAGGUUCGAUUUCUAGCCAGUGCA